rnacentral:rRNA from 1 species
CAUGUCUUUUUGAUAAUAAUUUCAAGUCUAAUCUGCUCAAUGAUAAAAUUAAAUUGCCGCAGUAUUUUGACUGUGCAAAGGUAGCGUAAUAAUUAGCUUCUUAAUUAGAAGCUUGUAUGAAAGAUUGGACGAGAGGGCUACUGUCUCUUUUUAAUUAUUAUAUAAAUUUAUUUUUAAGUUAAAAAGCUUAAAUUUUUUUAAAAGACGAGAAGACCCUAUAGAGUUUAAUAUAUUUGAUUUAUUAGGUUAUUAGAAAUUUUAAUAAUUUAAUUUAUUUAAUUGGGGUGAUUAAAAGAUUAAAAUAAUUCUUUUAUAAUUUAGUUGAUGAUUAUUAAAUUUAAAUUCUUAAAUUUUGAAGAUUAAAAUAAAUUACCUUAGGGAUAACAGCGUAAUUUUCCUAUAAAGUUCUUAUUAAAAGGAGAGUUUGCGACCUCGAUGUUGGAUUAAAAUUAAUUUUUGGUGUAGAAGCUAAAAAAUUAGGUCUGUUCGACCUUUAAAAUU